rnacentral:rRNA from 1 species
UACGUAGGUGGCAAGCGUUGUCCGGAUUUAUUGGGUUUAAAGGGUGCGUAGGCGGUCUAUUAAGUCAGUUGUGAAAUACGGCAGCUCAACUGUCGAGGUGCAAUUGAUACUGAUGGACUUGAGUACUGAUGAGGUAAGCGGAAUGGACGGUGUAGCGGUGAAAUGCUUAGAUAUCGUCCAGAACACCGAUAGCGAAGGCAGCUUACUAAGGAGUAACUGACGCUGAGGCACGAAAAGUGUGGGGAUCAAACAGG